rnacentral:rRNA from 1 species
UACGUAGGCAGCAAGCGUUGUUCGGAGUUACUGGGCGUAAAGGGUGUGUAGGCGGUUGUUUAAGUUUGGGGUGAAAUCUCCCGGCUCAACUGGGAGGGUGCGCCGAAUACUGAAUGACUCGAGUGCGGGAGAGGAAAGUGGAAUUCCUGGUGUAGCGGUGAAAUGCGUAGAUAUCAGGAGGAACACCGGUGGUGUAGACGGCUUUCUGGACCGUAACUGACGCUGAGACACGAAAGCGUGGGUAGCAAACAGG